UACGUAGGGGGCGAGCGUUGUCCGGAUUCAUUGGGCGUAAAGAGCUCGUAGGCGGCUUGGCAAGCCGGGUGUGAAACCUCUAGGCUCAACCUGGAGACGCCACCCGGGACUGCUAUGGCUAGAGUCCGGUAGGGGAUCACGGAAUUCCUGGUGUAGCGGUGGAAUGCGCAGAUAUCAGGAGGAACACCGGUGGCGAAGGCGGGUCUCUGGGCAGUAACUGACGCUGAGGAGCGAAAGCGUGGGGAGCGAACAGG
rnacentral:rRNA from 1 species